AAUGAACGCUGGCGGCGCGCCUAAUACAUGCAAGUCGAGCGAGAAGACGUAGCAAUACGUUUGUAAAGCGGCGAACGGGUGAGGAAUACAUGGGUAACCUACCCUCGAGUGGGGAAUAACUAGCCGAAAGGUUAGCUAAUACCGCGUACGCUCCUUGGACUUCGGUUCAGGGAGGAAAGCGAUACCGUGGGUAUCGCGCUCUUGGAUGGGCUCAUGUCCUAUCAGCUUGUUGGGAGGUAACGGCUCACCAAGGCUUCGACGGGUAGCUGGUCUGAGAGGACGAUCAGCCACACUGGCACUGCGACACGGGCCAGACUCCUACGGGAGGCAGCAGUAAGGAAUAUUGCGCAAUGGGCGAAAGCCUGACGCAGCGACGCCGCGUGGGGGAUGAAGGUCUUCGGAUUGUAAACCCCUUUCGGGAGGGAAGAUGGAACGAGCAAUCGUUCGGACGGUACCUCCAGAAGCAGCCACGGCUAACUUCGUGCC
rnacentral:rRNA from 1 species